CACAGUAUAAUAUUGACAGAGUACAGCAGUAAAGCCACCCUACACAGACAGGCUCUGCUUCAUCAGAACGCUUUCUCAGAAAUUACUUCAUGCCAUGACAGUGUGUUGGAGGUAGGGGUCAUUCAUAUGUUAGAUACAUGUCUGUCUGUCUGUACAUACAGACAUGUAGUAUGACCACAGUUUAUAAAUAAAGAUGCUUCCCCUCUAUGACCAGGAGGUGAGAGGCUUCCCCUCUAUGACCAGGUGAGAGGCUUCCCUCUAUGACCAGGUGAGAGGCUUCCCCUCUAUGACCAGGUGAGAGGCUUCCCCUCUAUGACCAGGUGAGAGGCUUCCCCUCUAUGACCAGGUGAGAGGCUUCCCCUCUAUGACCAGGUGAGAGACUUCCCCUCUAUGACCAGGUGAGAGGCUCCCCUCUAUGACCAGGAGGAGGUGAGGCUUCCCCUCUAUGACCAGGAGGUGAGAGGCUUCCCCUCUAUGACCAGGAGGUGAGAGGCUUCCCCUCUAUGACCAGGAGGAGGUGAGGCUUCCCCUCUAUGACCAGGAGGAGGUGAGGCUUCCCCUCUAUGACCAGGAGGAGGUGAGAGGCUCCCCCUCUAUGACCAGGUGAGAGGCUUCCCCUCUAUGACCAGGUGAGAGGCUUCCCCUCUAUGACCAGGUGAGAGGCUUCCCCGAAAAUGACCAGGUGAGAGGCUUCCCCGAAAAUGACCAGGUGAGAGGCUUCCCCGAAAAUGACCAGGUGAGAGGCUUCCCCGAAAAUGACCAGGUGAGAGGCUUCCCCGAAAAUGACUAGGUGAGAGGCCAAGGUGGACAGACAGGUCAGGAGGGGAAACAUACUACAGAGAUGGGGAGAACAGGAGAAAGUGUAAUCCUUUUGUAAUGUUCUGGUUGUUCCAUGUUGUUGCUGUGGGAAACCCUAGUGGUACGGAGAGGGACAGUAGAAUGGAAACCCUAGUGGUACGGAGAGGGACAGUAGAAUAGAAACCCUAGUGGUACGGAGAGGGACAGUAGAAUAGAAACCCUAGUGGUACGGAGAGGGACAGUAGAAUAGAAACCCUAGUGGUACGGAGAGGGACAGUAGAAUAGAAACCCUAGUGGUACGGAGGGGGACAGUAGAAUGGAAACCCUAGUGGUACGGAGAGGGACAGUAGAAUGGAAACCCUAGUGGUACGGAGAGGGACAGUAGAAUAGAAACCCUAGUGGUACAGAGGGGGACAGUAGAAUGGAAACCCUAGUGGUACAGAGGGGGACAGUAGAAUGGAAACCCUAGUGGUACAGAGGGGGACAGUAGAAUGGAAACCCUAGUGGUACAGAGAGGGACAGUAGAAUG
rnacentral:lncRNA from 1 species